rnacentral:rRNA from 1 species
AGAGUUUGAUCAUGGCUCAGGAUGAACGCUGGCNGCGUGCUUAACACAUGCAAGUCGAACGAAGCAUUUUAGCGGAACAUUUUCGGAUGGGAAGUUAAAAUGACUGAGUGGCGGACGGGUGAGUAACGCGUGGAUAACCUACCAUAUACAGGGGGACAACAGUUGGAAACGACUGCUAAUACCGCAUAAGCGCACAGUGCCGCAUGGCACGGUGUGAAAAACUCCGGUGGUAUAUGAUGGAUCCGCGUCUGAUUAGCUAGUUGGUGAGGUAACGGCCCACCAAGGCAACGAUCAGUAGCCGACCUGAGAGGGUGACCGGCCACAUUGGGACUGAGACACGGCCCAAACUCCUACGGGAGGCAGCAGUGGGGAAUAUUGCACAAUGGGCGAAAGCCUGAUGCAGCGACGCCGCGUGAGCGAAGAAGUAUUUCGGUAUGUAAAGCUCUAUCAGCAGGGAAGAAAAUGACGGUACCUGACUAAGAAGCCCCGGCUAACUACGUGCCAGCAGCCGCGGUAAUACGUAGGGGGCAAGCGUUAUCCGGAUUUACUGGGUGUAAAGGGAGCGUAGGCGGCAAGGCAAGUCUGAUGUGAAAACCCGGGGCUCAACCCCGGGACUGCAUUGGAAACUGCUUAGCUAGAGUGUCGGAGAGGUAAGUGGAAUUCCUAGUGUAGCGGUGAAAUGCGUAGAUAUUAGGAGGAACACCAGUGGCGAAGGCGACUUACUGGACAAUAACUGACGCUGAGGCUCGAAAGCGUGGGGAGCAAACAGGAUUAGAUACCCUGGUAGU